AGAGAGUUGCUGUCGCCGCUGGGGGUGGGACUGUCUGCGGUGUCCGCGGCGGGCGUCCAGCCUGGGAGGCGCUGGUUCAACCUGUGGCUCCUCCCAGGGUCAGCCGCGCGUGGUGAAUCGUUUCUGCAGGUCCCUUCCAUUUCUUACUUUCCUUUCCUUUCUUUCUCUCUUUCCUUUUUUUCUUUCUGUCCCUCUCCUUUCUUUCCUUCCUUCCUUUCUUCAUUUCUUCCUUCCUUUCCUCUUCCUUCCUUUCCGUUUUUCUUUCUCUUUUUUUUUUUUUUAAGAAAACUGCCUUUAUUCAAUUAGAAGUUGGAAAAAUUAACUGGUACAGAAAAAAAGUGUAAUCAGCUGGAGAAAAAGUGCCACCCAUGAGAACUGAUGGCUCCUCUGGGAGGGAAUCUGGAUACAGUGAGGAUUUCUAGGAAGCAAAUUACUUCUUCUCUGGGGCUAUGAGAGGCCUCGGUGGUGCUUAACACUGUAGGAAACGUUAAAUGGAGAAUUGUGGGAGAAAUGAUACCUCCUUCAAAGAUACGUGUUCCUAACAAGAAGGAAAAAACAAAUGCAAGCGAACAGUGGCGGUAGAACCAGUUAGUAUUGUGCGAACAGUACUUUCUGUUUUCUCCUAAGUCAGCUCGUGUGUAUGGCAUUAGGAGUAAUAGAGCCAGAGUGCCUGGUUUCCUAUCCCAGCUCAUUCCUAGUGUGUGGUUGGGAAUGUUUUGUCAACUGUCCAUGUCCCAGUUUGUUCAUCUACAUUAUAGUAAUGACAGUAGCUAGUUCACAGGAUUGUAAUAAGGUUUUUGUUGUGUUUUUGUUUCUAUUUGUUUUUGAGAUGGAGUUUCGCUCUUGUUGCCCAGGCCGGAGUGCAAUGGCACGAUCUCAGCUCACCGCAACCUCUGCCUCCCGGGUUCAAGCGAUUCUCCUGCCUCAGCCUCCCGAGUAGCUGGGAUUACAGGCAUGUGCCACCACUCCUGGCUAAUUUUGUGUUUCUUGUAGAGACAGGGUUUUUCCAUGUUGGUCAGGCUGGUCUCGAAUUCCCUAUUUCAGAUGAUCCGCCCACAUCGGCCUCCCAAAGUGCUGGGAUGACAGGCGUUAGCCACCUCUCCCAGACUGUUUUUUGUUUUUUUUGAGACAGUGUCACUCUGUCGCCCAAGCUGGAGCACAAUGGCGCGAUCUCGGCUCAUUGCAACCAAACUCCGCUUCCUGGGUUCAAGUGAUUCUCCCGCCUCAGCCUCCCGCGUAGCUGAGAUUACAGGGGCACAUCACCAUGCCUCACUAAUUCACCAUGUUGGCCAAGCUGGUCUCGAACUCCUGACCUCAGGUGACUGCCCACCUAAGCCUCCCAAAGUGCUGGGAUUACAGGCAUGAGCCACCACGCCCGGCUGCAAUAAGCUUUUAAUGGGUUGAUAAACUGUUGAUAAGUAGUGCCUGGUUCAUAGUAUGUGUUUGCUGUUAUGGUUAUUACUGCCUGCCCCCAGAGCUUUCCCUCAUCUUGCUUGGACAUUAUGACUUUCAGCUGGUCGUUUUGACCACAACCAUCACCACCUCUCAAAUAUAAAUAUUGUUUUAUUAUCUCUGUCUUUUGGUAAAAGGAAUUUGAGAAGAAAACAAAAUCAAUCAAUUAAUCUUUGUCUUUAAGAUCUACCACUCCCCUGGGUAAUUGGUAUGGUACAGAAGUUCAUUACUCAAAAGCAUACUUGCCAUUGAGGGAAGAGAGAGACCCUCUCAUAUUGUUUUAUAUUGUUUUAUACUCAGU
rnacentral:lncRNA from 10 species